UACAGAGGGGGCAAGCGUUGUUCGGAAUUACUGGGCGUAAAGGGCGCGUAGGCGGUCUUGUCAGUCCCUUGUGAAAUCCCCCGGCUCAACUGGGGAACUGCACGGGAAACAGCAGGGCUUGAGUUCGGGAGAGGGAAGCGGAAUUCCGGGUGUAGCGGUGAAAUGCGUAGAUAUCCGGAGGAACACCGGUGGCGAAGGCGGCUUCCUGGACCGAUACUGACGCUGAGGCGCGAAAGCUAGGGGAGCAAACGGG
rnacentral:rRNA from 1 species